AAGCUUCAACCUUAUAUUUCUUAGUUCAAGUCUAAGUGCUCUUG
rnacentral:tRNA from 1 species